UACGGAAUGUGCAAACGUUAUUCGGAAUCACUGGGCUUAAAGAGUCCGUAGGCGGCAUGUUAGGUGAGGUGUGAAAGCCCCCGGCUCAACUGGGGAGGGUCACGCGAUACUGAUCGACUCGAAGGCAGGAGAGGGUAGUGGAAUUCCCGGUGUAGUGGUGAAAUGCGUAGAUAUCGGGAGGAACACCAGUGGCGAAGGCGACUACCUGGACCGACAUUGACGCUGAGGCGCGAAAGCGUGGGGAGCAAACAGG
rnacentral:rRNA from 1 species